rnacentral:misc_RNA from 1 species
CUACGCGAGUGCAGUGUCGCGUUGAACGUCUCACAGAGCGCGUCGCACGUACGAGAAGUGGCCGCCGCCCGUGUCAGCAGUCGCGUCGCAACCACGUAACCUCGUCGUAUUAGUUUAUAGUAGUUGAGUAGUAGAGAGGAGAAGAGAAGAGAGGAGAAGAGAUAAAACGCCGUAAGAACAUCAGCGCGUCGUCGUUAUAGAGUAAAAAACGUCGUCGCCGUCGUCGUCUACGUCGUCGUCGUCGUCGUCGUCGUCGUCGUCGAUCGUCGUUCCUAGCUAUUGCCGUUUCUACUCUCUCUCCCCCUCAUCCCCGUCCCCCUCCCCCCCGCAAAGAAACGUGAAAAAGACAACAGAAAAGGAAGAAGAAGAAAGAAAGAAAGAAACAAACGAAAGCAACAACGACGAAAAACGAAAAAUAACGAAAACCAAGCAAACUCGUGACGUUGAAACUAAAUUCGGGGAAACUAAACGCAACGCAAACUCAAACCUCAACCUCGACUCAACGCAACGCAACGCAACGCAACCGACCGACUGACCCGACGCGCUUUCCAGGCCUAAUUCACACCGCCACCACCGCCACAACCACCACCCCCCACCCCCCUCCCCGACCUACCCGUCCACCCACCCAAACACCCACCCACCCACCCACCGAUCCACCCACUCAAUCAUCCGAAGACCGGGUCCAUCCCCCAAGUACUACGAGUCUCACGGUAAUAUCGUGCCCACCGAUAUGGAGCCCCAAACCCAGGAGAUAGUGGCCAGCGGAUCGCCCGCCGAGGUGCCGAACGAUCCAGGGAAAAUGUUCAUCGGUGGUCUAUCUUGGCAGACCAGUCCAGAGAGCCUCAGAGAGUACUUCACCAAGUAUGGGGAAAUCACGGAAGUGAUGGUCAUGAAAGAUCCCACCACCAGACGAUCAAGCAGCGGUGAGCUCGCCUCGUAUGUGGUGGAUAGCACUGGCCGCAUGUUUACACCAAGAGGUUUUGGCUUCAUCACGUUCGCGGAUCCAGCCAGCGUUGACAAAGUUUUGGCUCAAGGCACUCACGAACUCGACGGCAAAAAGAUCGACCCAAAGGUGGCGUUUCCAAGGAGAGCACAUCCGAAGAUGGUGACUAGGACAAAGAAGAUAUUCGUGGGCGGGCUAUCGGCGCCGACGACACUCGAAGACGUGAAAAACUACUUCGAACAGUUCGGCCCGAUCGAGGAUGCCAUGCUGAUGUUCGACAAGCAGACGAACAGGCACAGAGGAUUCGGCUUCGUCACGUUUCAGAGCGAGGACGUCGUCGACAAGGUCUGCGAAAUCCACUUCCACGAGAUCAACAACAAAAUGGUUGAGUGCAAGAAGGCGCAGCCGAAAGAAGUGAUGCUACCAGCGAACCUGGCCAAGACGCGGGCGGCAGGUCGAGGCGCUUACGAUUUUAUGUGGUCCCUGGGAGCAUUACCUGACGGUUUCCCGGCGGCAGCGUACGCGGCGUACGCGGCAGGGCGCAGCUACUCAGGAUACCCUAGUUUCGGUCUCCCCUACCCAACAGGGCUGCCCGUGUACUACCCCGGAAGCGGAAGUGACGGUGUGGGCCGCGCGUAUUCGGAGGCGACGAUGCAACACGUUCAACAAAAUCUCCAGCGUAAGAAAUUGGAUCUGACCAACGGGCAGUUAACACCCAACAACAAUACGCCGCUACUUACGCAAGCGCUUUCUGGAUUUGUUCCAGUGAUGAACAACUACCAGGCGGCAGCGCAGGCCGGAUUUCCGCCGGCGUCGCCGCACGGAGCCGCGGGUCACGGGGGACCUCAAAACCGCUCCUUCCCGGCCGCAAAUUCGCCAGGACCGAUCGACAUGUACAGUUCGAGCGCGGCGGCCGCGGCCGCGGCCGCAGCGGCGGACAGCGCGGUGGCCAGCUACGUUCAGGCCGCGGCGAGCCCGCAACCGCCGACGACCGCGUUUCCCGCAAUCGCGGUCUCCCGCGCCCCGCUCAACUACAGCCCCAUGAUGUUUACCGCAGUUUUAGAAUCGCCACUUUGGUAGCGCUCACAGCAGCCGGCCACAUUAUUGUGCCCCGAAAUUUCGAGGGGUCCUCUGAUACCAGCGGCGUUCACUAACGGCUACCAUUGAGCCUUGUUAAGACCUAACAACAGGAUGGAAGAGAGGGCAGAAUUCGGCAGCACGGUCGACUAACGGCUAGAUUACAACAACGGGGACAAACGUAUAUUAUUAUAAAAAAUAUCAUCACAUACACAAGAGAGCAUUAAUAAAUAUUAUAUAAAGACAAGCGAACAAAGAAACGAGAAGAAAAAGAAAAAUGAGUAAUAAAAAUUAAAUACAUAUAUAAUAUGAAUAACACACCUAGACGAUUACGCGAUACGUUGAAUUAUAUUACACACACACACACAUAUAUAUAUAUAUAUUUGAACACGCGAUCGAUUAAUGUAUUUAAUGAGAAUUUCGAGUCGUGAACCGUGGAUAACACAAAGCCUUUAGGAUAUAUGAGCGCGAAUUGUGGCGACGGGUGCGUAAAGAAAUUGGAACAAGCUAAAGAGAGAAAUAAAAAAAUUUAAAUAAGUAAAAAAAUAAAUAAAUAAAAACGCCGGAUUAACGCGUGUACGUGGAAAAAAGGUUGGAAGGAACGGAGAGGAGGAUACGGUAAAAUAAAUAAUUUAAACGAAAGGGAAAUGCUUGCCGGGAAUAAUAAAGGUAAUUAAAAAUGUUAACAACAAGAGAGACGUUCGCCGAAUAGAAAAUAUAUAUACAUAUAUAUACAUAUAUAUAUACACACUGACUACGCUAAUUGUAAACGAAAAAUGCGGUUCUUGAAAACGAGAAAAAAUAUCGAGAAAAAAAUUACAAAAAAAUGAACGUAGCGUGUCUUAUAUCUGUAUAUGUAUAUAUGUAUACAUAUAUUAUAUAUAUACACGUGUACGUGUAUGAAGAAACUACAAAUACGGCACGAGCAAAUAAUACGUUGACACACCUACACCGAAAGAGGAGCGACGGGGGCGGGGAGGGGGAUAGAACUUGGUUCAAAGUAGUAAAGGGAAGAAGAAACAAAAAAAAAAGAAAA